UACAGAAGUGAUGGUAUGUGGGCUCUCACCUAGUUUCAAACUGGACUACUUUUUCAUGACGGUGAUGAAGCCAUUUAGAGGGACUUCCAAAAGUCCCAUGGCUGUACUCACCCCAUUCCCAGACCUUCAUCACCAAAAUGUUUUUCCUUUGAGGAAAAUCAUGUUGAAAAGAAUUCUCAUAAUACUAACUAGUAUUUAUUGAACACUUAUUAAGUGUUGCACGCUAUGUGAAAUGGUUUAUAUGAGCAAGAUAUCACAAUAUUUCAGCCAAAGCAAAUGAAACUUAGAUUAAAUAAUUUGCACAAAUUUAAGUAGCUAGUAAAUGUCAGAGCUGGGCUUCAAAAUAAAGUCUGUCUUAAUACAAACCCUUCACCACUAUAGUACCCUGCCUACCAGGUAGCAUUAAGACACCAGAGAUGGUUUGGAUGCAGAAAUAAAAUGGUUAUUCCAAUAUCUACUUCAAAUGUGGAGGGCUUGGGAUUUUUCUGCUUAUGCACAUGCAAAGACCCAAAGAAAAAUGCUGUCACACUCUGAUUUAAAAAAAAAUAUGCAACAGAAAGGAAAAUACAUUAUAAUCAUGCAACUAAACCAGCAGCCACUGAGGCAAGUUUUAAGAUUAGAACAGCCCCAGAUUUUUGGAGUACAUGAAUAGAAUUUUUAAAAUAUUUUAUCUGGUUUGCUCAUCCCUGAUCCCCAUUCCCUACUUCACCA
rnacentral:lncRNA from 1 species